AUGGAGUUCCCCGCUUAAGCUGGGGGUUGGUCUAGAAGACCUCCAAGGUCUCUUUCAACUCUGUUGUUCUGUGAAGAGGAGAGGUUUUUCAGGUUGGAGAGAGACAGAUUCCUGUUGACACCAGCACCUUCCUUUAAGCCUUAAUCCACCCUGGAAAUCUGUCCAAAUUCGCAACUGCUGCUUUGC